UACGUAGGGGGCAAGCGUUGUCCGGAAUCAUUGGGCGUAAAGCGCGUGUAGGCGGCCUGGAAAGUCUGGUGUGAAACUUGGGGCUUAACCCCAGCUGUCACUGGAUACUGUCAGGCUUGAGUCCGGAAGAGGAGAGUGGAAGUCCUGGUGUAGCGGUGAAAUGCGCAGAUAUCAGGAAGAACACCCGUGGCGAAGGCGGUUCUCUGGGACGGUACUGACGCUGAGACGCGAAAGCGUGGGGAGCGAACAGG
rnacentral:rRNA from 1 species